rnacentral:rRNA from 1 species
GACGGAGGGGGCUAGCGUUGUUCGGAAUUACUGGGCUUAAAGGGCGCGUAGGCGGGCCACCAAGUCCGGGGUGAAAUCUUUCGGCUCAACCGGAAAAGUGCCUUGGAUACUGGUGGUCUUGAGCGAGGUAGGGGCAUGUGGAACUUCCGGUGGAGCGGUGAAAUGCGUUGAUAUCGGAAGGAACUCCGGUGGCGAAAGCGACGUGCUGGACCUCUUCUGACGCUGAGGCGCGAAAGCUAGGGGAGCGAACGGG